GACUACCGGGGUAUCUAAUCCCAUUCGCUACCCACGCUUUCGUGCUUGAGUGUCAGAAAUGUGCCAGUAAAGUGCCUUCGCUUUUGGUGUUCCCCAUGAUAUCAACGGAUUUCACCCCUACACCAUGAGUUCCCUUUACCCCUCACAUUCUCAAGUUGUGCCGUUUCGUUCGCGGUUCUUGGGUUAAGCCCAAGGAUUUGACAAACGACUAACACAACCACCUACGCACCCUUUACGCCCAAUAAUUCCGGAUAACGCUCGGGGCUCUCGUAUUACCGCUCCUGCUGGCACGAGAUUAGGAGCCCCUUAUUCAUGAGGUACCGUCAAUAAACUUCUUCCCUCAUAAAAGAUCUUUACACACCGAAGUGCGUCAUCAAUCACGCGGCGUCGCUCCGUCAGACUUUCGUCCAUUGCGGAAGAUUCUCGACUGCAGCCCCCCGUAGG
rnacentral:rRNA from 1 species